GUGCUUAACACAUGCAAGUCGAGUGCGCGCCUGUAGCAAUACAGGUGGCGCACGGCGCACGGGUGCGUAACACGUGGGCAAUCUGCCCUCGGAUGGGGGAUAACCCGCCGAAAGGCGGGCUAAUACCGCAUGACAUUCCUGGGACUCCGGUCCCGGGACUCAAAGGCCGCAAGGCCGUCUGAGGAGGAGCCCGCGCCCGAUUAGCUAGUUGGUGAGGUAACGGCUCACCAAGGCUUUGAUCGGUAGCCGGUCUGAGAGGAUGGCCGGCCACACUGGAACUGAGACACGGUCCAG
rnacentral:rRNA from 1 species